GUGUUGUAUGAAAGGAGAGAAGUUUAGCACUCCCCUAGACAAGGAUGGAACAAAUAACCUCGUAAGGCACUGUCGCUGCGGCGGCACUUACGACCAAUUUUUU